GUUGAGCUGGAAGGACAUGUUUUUUCAAAUGUAAUUUAAGAGCCGUGCUUCUUUGAGAGCUUAACAUCUUCACGGAGAAUCCUGUGUGUAAGAUCAGUGUGUGAGGGUAAAGCAGCCAUUCCAUAAAUGGUUGUCUUCAUAUCUGGAAUUCAACAUUGAAUAUUGAAUAUUUAAUAUGUAGCACUAUAAUAAAGUAUAAAACAAC